rnacentral:rRNA from 1 species
UACGUAGGGGGCAAGCGUUGUCCGGAAUCAUUGGGCGUAAAGAGCGUGUAGGCGGCUUGGUAAGUCCGCUGUGAAAGUCCAGGGCUCAACCCUGGAAUGCCGGUGGAAACUGUCAAGCUUGAGUCCGGAAGAGGCGAGUGGAAUUCCUGGUGUAGCGGUGAAAUGCGCAGAUAUCAGGAGGAACACCAAUGGCGAAGGCGGGUCUCUGGGCCGAUACUGACGCUGAGGAGCGAAAGCGUGGGGAGCGAACAGG